ensembl:lncRNA
UGGACAAUGCGGGCUGUGCCACUUCUGGAUCCCGCAGCGAACUUCCACCCCCGUGUGUCCCAGCAGCGGGUGCAGCCGGGCCAGGACUCGGGCGAUGCCGGGCUGGGCCGUGGGACCCUCCCCAGGCAGCUCCAGCCGGUCCCGCUGCUGGUGGGGCUGAGGUCCCGACCCCGACCCUAAUCGUGACCCCGAUUUUGACCUUGACCUCCCGCUGACCCCGACCCGGCCCCCGCUGUCCGUGCUGCUGCCGGGACGCGACGGCGCGGACGGGAACCGCCCCGGGAACGGCGGUCGUGGACCGGCACCCGCGGGGACCGCUGCCCGAACCGGGACCCUUCGGGGCGUACCGGGACCGUACCGGGAGCCUGCGGUGUCGGCGGGACGCCGCCCGGCCCCGUCGGGUCUCGCAGCUCAUUGGGUUACGGACCGGGGGGCCGGGCGGCGUCCCUCCGCUCCCGCAGCGCACCCGGGAGGAGGCGGGGCCGCCGGUGCCGGUUUCCCGACGGCGGGAUUGGCUGCGACUCCGUGACGCGGCCGGUCGGACCGGGAGGGGGGAGCCGCCGCCGCCGCCGCGCCGCCGCAGAGCAGCCGGGAUGAGCGGCCGGCGGGGAGAGGACGGCGGGGGGUCUGCGCGCUGCGCUGGUGAGGGCCCCGCUUGCUCUCCCCGCUUCCCGGGGCGGCGAGGCCGCGCUCCGCGCCGCGCAAGAGGCCGCGGGGUAUCGGCGGCUGCUCCGCGCCCGCGCGGCGGAGGUGGAGGCGCAUGCGCCGGGGGCCGUGGGGGCGCUUGCAUCGGCAGCUGAGGGCUCCGCCACCGGCAGCAGCGAGGGAGGUGCCAAGUACCAGAUAAACGGGGGGGGAGUUGGGGUGCAUCAGGGGGGGGAGGCUUGGCCAGAGAGGCGCGAGCGAGGGGGUGGUGCGUGAUGGGGGUGGGAUGGAGGAUCGCUGCGGUGCGGGGUCUCAGGAGAAGGGGAGGCUGGGGCGGGGUCCCGGGGUCCGGGUCGCGGUCCCGGAGCGGCGCUGACAGCCCGACUGCAGGAGCGGGUGGCGGAGCUGGAGCGGCAGAUCGGAGAAGCGGAGCAGGAGAUGGCGCGGUGCCUGCGGGAAUAUCCCGCGCUGCUGCGGCUGCGGAUGGCGCUGGACGCGGAGAUCGCCGCGUAUCGGGAGAUGCUGGAGGGGGAGGAGCUGCGCCUGGGUGCCGUGGUUCCGCCGUGACGGGGCGCCCACCCCUUUGCCGGGGACCCGGGACCGCCGGGACUCCCCGGAUUCCCGGCCCCGGGCCGCUGCUCUGCGGGACCCUCUGAGCCCCCCGCCCCUCUGGAGCAUCCUCUGCUCCCGAGCCACGGGACCCCCGGACUCCUGGAUCCCGGAGCUUCUGGACCCCUCACGGGACCCCUGGGCUCCGCAGAUGCCCCCGGGGGGCUCCCGCUCCGCAGCAGGGCAGUGCCCCGGGCCUCACACUCUCACCAGCCUCCCCAGAGCGGCAGCAGGGCGCAGCCCCGGCCCUGGCCCACGCGGGAGCACCUCAAUAAACGCCCCGUGGCAUUACCCA